CUUGAUUUUGGCUAUUCCUGAAUACUUUUAUGUUUUGUUUCCUUGACAUGGCUUUCCUUAUCGAACUCGUGUAUUUCUGACUUCCUUGACCUUGGCUUUCCCUUGACCAUUCACUGUCUUUCAACGUAUUAACCUGGCCAUUCUAAGGACCGGUUUACGUUCUGUCUAUCUUCUAUAGCCUAUGUAGAUGUUACAUAGUUUUGCAUGUUGGAUCACACUGGUAGUCGCGAC